GGGGGCGACAGGUUUCGACAGCAUGAUGGAAGGUCGUGAAGCGCGAGCCGAGGAUAGGGCAGCCUCGUAAAUCAGGCUCUAAAACAAUAAUUGCUAACGAAGAAUUCGCACUGGCUGCUUAACUAAAGCAACCACGCCCUCCGGGAGCUCGGUCGUUGGAACCCGGAAGAGCGUCACAUAGACGACUGGAAUUGCGACAGCGCCGUCUGGCCGCAAUUUGAGACUCUAGGGAUGGCUGGGGGUUGCAAAUCCUGUUCGUGGGAGAGGUAAUCCCGAAAUUAAAACACGAACUACGCUCGUAGUGCAUCUCGAUUGUCCCUUGUUGGACCGGAGUUCGAUUCUCCGCGCCUCCACCA
rnacentral:tmRNA from 1 species